CUCUUGAAUACCUCAUCAACACCGCAGGUGACCCGGAGCCCGCUGCUCCGCUCGGCCCCGCCCCGGGCAGCUAUUUGGCACAUUUCAAUUAGCGUAACGGGUGCCUGGUAAACAGCCGAGGCCGGCUGCGGGCACCUGCAAUCCCCGACCCCCGACGCCCUCCCCGAGACCCUGGAGACGCGGCUCCGCCCCCACCGGUAAUUAGGAGAUUUUCAAGGCCUAUGUCCCCAAAGCCCAGCCCAGCUGGAGAGAUCAGCCCUGCGGUCCUGCCGCGCACUCCACCGCCAGCCUCUCGGGAGUCAAGGGAUCCGCCUUCAGGGUGAAUUGGGGUUCCACCAUGUCACCCUCAUGGAGCUUUCGUUAGCCUUGUUUGGGAUACAAAGGGGUAAGUGUCCCCUCAUUUUAGAGAAAGAUCAAGAGCCAGUGAACAGGAUUUCCCAGCCAGGGACAUGGAGCAGGGCACCUGCAGAUGGUCCACGUGCUCUUGGCUGAUGGCAGCCCACCUCCGGGAGGGGCCUGUGCACCUUUCUCCCAGGAGGAGGGAAGGACCCAAUCAUUAUCCAGAGUCAACGGUCCUCCCCAUGCUUUCCGGCUGUACCCUCAUCCUCAGGACGAACCUCCGCACCUCCUCCCAUCAUCUCAGGCCCCAUCUGCAAAGUUGGGAUCAGAGAGAGGCCCAGACUGCGCUGGACAACUGAGCCAGUUUUCAUUUCAAAUCGAAGUUUAAAAGAUGCCACUUUUAAUUAUGCUUGAGUGCAGUGUACCCUGAGGCCUUUUGUGGUAAAUGGCUCUCAAUAAUCCCAGUUUAUUCAUUAAUUAUUAUUAAUUAUUUUCUUAAGUAGUGGCAAGGGGACGCAGGGCCCCGCUCAGACCACAAGUCGCACAUCGACUGUCAAAUCCUCGAUGAGCAGGCUCUGAAGAGUUGCCUGUGCCGGCUGCAAUCUGGCUCGCCUGGGCCCGGGCUGGGGUGCCAGGAGCACUCUGGACUGAGGCGGGGCUUCCAGAGCGUGGGGCAGGGCUGGGGGAAAGGAGGGCCUGGAGGAGCCACAGGCCACACCGGACAAAAACACCUUCCACCAGGGUGGCACUUCACCUUCGGGAAGCUCCUUCACUGGAUAAUGAAGACUUUUGUCUUCAGCAAAGCGAGGAAGAAAAGAAUUACCAUUACCACCAGCCAAGGCACCUGACACAUGUGGUCAGUGGUGAACUGGUAAACUCGUUCUCCAGAAACAAAACAAUCAUCUCAAUCAUCUAACAUUUCUUUCCUCUUUUUUUUUUUUUUUUUUGAUACAGGAUCUUACUCUGUCACCCAGGCUGGAGUGCAGUGGCGCAAUCUUGGCUCACUGCAGCCUCAACCUUCCAGGCUCAAGUGAUCUUCCCACCUCAGCCUCUUAAGUACCUGGGACUACAGGCGCACACCACCAUACCUGCCUAAUUUUUGUAUUUUUUGUAGAGAUGGGGUUUCGCCAUGUUGCCCAAGCUGGUCUCAAACUCCUGAGCUCAAGUGAUCCUCCCACCUCGGUCUUGAGGCUUGAGCCACUGCACCUGGCCUACCAUUUCAUUAUUUAUGAUUCUAUAAUAUUCCACUGUAGGGGCAUACAGGUCCCUUAACUUCUCAGUUCCUUACUACUGGGCCAUUUCCCACUUUUCAUUAUUCUAAACAAAUUUGAUGAACAGGCUUUUGCAUAGGUAUCUACCCAUACCCUCAUUCACUUACCUAGGUGACAUUUCUAAAGGUGAAAUUAACUGAUCAAAGGACGUGUGUUUUUAAGGCUUUGAUGCACAUUACUUAACUUUAACUAAACUCAGGAAAAACGGUGAUAAAUUAUACCCCAAGGCCAGCACUUGGGAAGCUGAGAUGGGUGGAUCACUUGAGGUCAGGAGUUGGAGACCAGCCUGGCCAACAUGGUAAAACCCCAUCUCCACUAAAAAUACAAAAAUUAAUGGGUGUGUUGGCAUGUGUCUGUAAUCCCAGCUACUAGGGAGGCUGAGGCAAGGGAAUCGCUUGAACCCAGAAGGCGGAGGCUGCAGUGAGCCAAGAUCACAGCACUGCAUUCCAUCCUGGGCAAUAGAGUGAGACUCGGUCUCAAAAAAAAAAAAAAAAAAAUACACACACACACACACACACACCCCAAGGAUAGAUAUUUAUAGGGGAUCACACUGAUCUUUAUAUACGAGGUCUAGAACAAGGCAAAAUGCAAAUAAGAAAAAGUCCUGAAUUCUAGUACUUGCCAGUUUCCAUGGUGUAAUACUCCCAUCCUGGCCAGUAUGGAGAUACUAACAAUUUAACAACUGGCUUGCAAAAUUCCUGAAAAUCUAACAACCGUCUCUGGGAGCUCAUGGGAGCUGACCCUGGCACCUUAGUGUGUGUGAUGAGAUUUCCUCCUUCUCUGAAAGGAGGUCAUGGUAAUUUCAUCUGUCAACUUGACUGGGCCAUGGGGUGCUAAGGUGCUGGUCAAACAUUCUGGGUGUUUCUCUGAGAGUGUUUCUGGAUGAGAUUAACAUUUGAAGGCUUGGUGCAGUGGCUCAUGCCUGUAAUCCCAGCACUUUGGGAGGCCAAGGCGGCCAGAUCGCUUGAGCUGAGGAGUUCGAGACCAGCCUGGGCAACACGACAAACCCCAUCUCUACUAAAAAUACAACAAUUAGCUGGGCGUGGAGGCGCAUACCUGUAGUCCCAGCUACCUGGGAGGCUGAGGUGGGAGGAUCACUUGAGCCUAGGAAGUUGAGGCUGCAGUAAGCCGUGCUCACACCAGUGCACUCCAGCCUGGGCAACAGAGUGAGACCCUGUCUCAAAAAAAAAAAAAAAGAAGCGAAAGAGGGAGGCAGGAGAGUCAGCAUCAGAGGAAUGAGAUACAGGAAGGAGUCGACUGGUCAUUGCUGGCUCUAAAGAUGCAGGAAGGGGUCGAGAACCAGGGAGUGCAGGCAGCCUCUAGAAAACAGAAGAGGAAGAAAAUGGAUUCUCCCACAGAGCCUCCAGGAGGCAAGCAGGCAGCCCUGCCGACACAUUGAUUUUAGCCCAGUGAGGGCCGUUCCGGACUUCUGAUGUUCAGGACUAAGAUAUAUUGUGUUAUUUUAUGCCACUAAAUUUGUGGCCAUUUGUUUCCAAGACGGUGGUAUUGUCCCCAUUUAACCAGGUGAUGGAACAAAAUUUCAGAGACAUAAACUCUGUGGGUCACAGCUAGUGAUGGGGGCCCAAAACAGGGUUUGACCCCAGGGCUGUCUGACUCCAUGGCCCACGUUCUUUGUUGUAUCCCAGAAGAGAAGCCACUGUUUACACGAAAGCACCUCUGGGAAGGUUAACAACUUCGUCCUGUGUCAGGCACGGGAACUGCGUAGCCUUUCUUCAUGAAACACCAGAAAAUAAAAGAAACCGGCCGGACACGGUGGCUCUGUCACCCUAGGACUUUGGGAGGCCAAGGCGGGCAGAUCAGUUGAGGUCAGGAGUGUGAGAUCAGCAUGGACAACAUGGCAAAACCCUGUCUCUACUAAAAAUACAAAAAAAAAAAAAUAGCCAGGAGUGGUGGUGGGUGCCUGUAACCCCAGCUACGCGACAGGCUGAGGCAGGAGAAUUGCUUGAACCCAGGAGGUGGAGGUUGCAGUGAUCCAGGAUCGCGCCACUGCCCUCCAGCCUGGGUGACAGAGCACAAGACUCAGUCAAGAGAAGAGAAGAAAAGCGGAGGGGAGGAGAGGGGGAGAAGAAGAGAAAGGAAAGGGAAGAAGAGAAAGGAAGGAAAGGAAAGGAAAGGAACAACCACAAGCAUCCACAUCCAGCUUAAGGCAGAGAUGAGUUUGCAGGAAGGAGGGGAAGCCCAAGGGCCGGAGUGAACCAGGAGCUGAAAACCAGACGGUGGCUGCGUGAGUGUGGCCAGCGCAGGCCGAGGCUUCCUGGUCCUGGGGUCCAGGGCUUGGACUCUGACUCCUCCACGGAGAUGAGAGGUGUGGCCUGGGGGAUGGACAUGCAGAAUCGAGACCCCUGCAUAAAGCCAGGCCCCUUCAGUUCUGCGGUCUCCGUGGAAGGACAGAGCAAAAACACCCAUCCCCAGCACAGGGAGAUUGGGAGAGGGUCUGUCACUAUGGGAGAAGGAAGAUCAGAGAUAUUGGCAGAGCGGUCUCCAGAACUGAUUAAAAUCAGGCACCAGCAGAUUCAGGAAGCCCACUUGAGUCCUCAGCAGGCCCCAGCCCUGGACACAGGGGCUCAGGACACAGCCACUACUAGACAGGAGACUGUACCCUCCGGGCCUAGUGCCUUACCAAGCACUGCUCCUGGGAGAAUGUUUGCUGAACGGAUGGUGAUGGGGAGAGGGAAAAGAGAGGGGAAAGUGAGGGUGUCUAAGUCCAGCUUGAGACAAGGCCGGGGGAUUCAUAGUCUCCACCCACCCUCUGCCUUCAGAGGUCCAAGGAUGGGGUGGGCACCAGCAUGGGGCUGGGGGAGCCAUGGGGGCCAGGGGUAUCUGCUGUGGGCUCAAGGAGCCCUCCCAGGGCUCAGACCCCAGCCUGAAACUCUCCCAGCACUCCAAAAGCCAAAUCCCACCCAGCUCUGGGCUGCUUCAUGGGGCCCCAGACUGGAGAAGACACCCCACGAAGGGUCUCUAAGGAAGAGGCGCUGGUGGUCAGGCCUGGGCAGCUGUGGGAGCUGAGAGUUUAAUGGGGAGAACGUGCUCUGUUGGCUUCACGCUCCAACAUCAGGGGGAACCAGCUGCACCGUUUCCCCAGAAUCACGGUCUCUUGAGCCCAAUAUUCAAAUAUAUGCAGACGUCGGAGCCUGGACUAUUUUUAGCUGAGACUCAGAGGGAGAUGAUCUCAGGCUGACUCGGAGAGUGGCCCAGUCCCAGAGGAGCGCAGAAUCAACCUGAAAAGUCAGGCUUGGGGACCACCCCCUUCUCCUGCUGUAAGCGCCUGGAUUCUGCACCCCAGGUGCCCUGAAGGUCUGUGUUGUGGGUGUUUAUUUGGGGCGGAGGGACUGGUCUGCAUCCCUGGGGAGCUGUGUUCUCUUUCCUUCGAUGCCUUUUUUCAGCAAACACUUUGCUUUUCUGCGAAAAGACAAAGCGGGCUGCAUGCUGGAGCCAGCGGCCUGGCUAGGGGGCCGUUUACCUCCCGACUCGGGAUGCGUGGCUCAGCCUCUUAUUAUCUUGAAAGGCAGCAGAAGUCUGACCCCUUCUGUGUGAGCUUCCCAUGGCUGUUAUAGUCACUUACCACCGGCUGUGGCUUAAAACCGCGGGAGCGUAUUUCCUCACAGUUCUAGAGGCCAGAAGUCCAGCAUCAGGGUGCCAGCAGGGCCGUAUUCCCUCUGAAGGCGCCAGAGAAGGGUCCAUCUUUGCCCUCCCAGCUUCCGGCGGUCACCAGCAGGCCUUAGUGUUUGCUGGCGCAGCUGCAUGGCUCUGAUCUCUGCCUCUGUCUUCACAGGGAUUUCUUCCCUGUGUGUCCCCGGGUCCUCUUCUGAUAAGGACACCAGUCAUUGGACUUAAGGCCUCUGCUAAUCCAGUCUGGCCUCAUCUCAAAUUGAAGAACAUCUGCACACACCCUAUUUCCAAGUAAGAUCCUAUUCACAGGCACCAGGGGUGCCUUCAAUGCAUCUUUUGGGGGGAACACAAUUCAACCCACAGCAUCUUCUGUGUUGUUCUGCCCAAGGACAGCCACCCCCCAGCAGCCGCGGUGAGAAGUUCCCCCAGGUUUGGGGUUUCCAAUCUUGGGUGGCGGCAGGCUGGGAGCCAGGGACCGCUUGAGCCUUACUGUGCUCUCCUGCUAGGAGGGGCGGCAGCUCCUUGCCCCUGGAGACAGCGCGGCUCCCCAGAGCAGCUGAGUGUCUUGCAGUCAUCAACAGCCACCUCAUCUCAGAGGCAGCACCUGGAAUCUUACCUGCCUCACCUCCUUUAGUCCUCAAAACACCUGUGUCCCAGGAUUAUGUCCCUUAUUCUACAGAGGAGGAAGCUGAAGUGCAAACUAAGAGGAAGUUCCGAAGCAGCAGGUUGGGGUGCCAGGUGCCAGCCUGGUGAGGAGCUCGGGGCUCUCGCGAGGACCGUGACGGGGCUUUCACCCCAUCUUCCCUUCUGAGUCGGGCUUGUUGGGAUGGGGUGGUGGGGUCUGCACCUGCACAGCCAAGGAGGAGCAGGGCAGCCUCACCCUAGCACAGUCCUGAAAAGAGGGCCCCGCCCCCUUUAAGGGAAUACGUGAUUCCCUUUUAGAGAGUGCUAGGCCGAUACUUGGAGGAGCCAGUGUGGUCGGGCAGAAAGGGGUGGACAAACCUAAACCCUACGGACCUCUUUUUUGAGACCCCAAACUGCCUGGGCUCUUGCCUCCCAGAAGUCAGAUCUUCCCCAGGGGAGGGUGUGGGAAGGUGGGGUUAGGGAACAUACAGGGUCUUUGGGAGCCUUCUAAGUCAGCCAAGGCAGCUGGGGCAGCUGCAGGGCCAGAGCACAGGGAAGGCAGGUCCCCAGGUCUAGCUGCUCGGCCUCCAGCCCCGCCAGGCCCAGCUAAGAGGGUGCUUUGGCUGCCAAGAGAAGAACCCAGGGUGGGGACUGCCUCCUGGACCUCCACAGGCAGCUGGCCUCCUACAGUCCUGCUGGGACCUGGGACCCCGUCCUCUCUGCUGCCCUUCAGCUUCCCUGGCUGUGAGGGACAGAACUUGUUACCAGCCUCCCACUCAUGUUAUUUCUCCUGCCCUUGAACUUCAGGACUGUCUUGGAGCCAGCCGAGGCCUGUUUGCAUCCUUUGCCCCCAGGUCCAGCUGGAUCCCCCACCUUUUCCUCCACUGGAUUCAGCCUAGUGGGCCCUGGGCUGCAAGAGAAGUUGCUUCAGCCCAGGGGCUGGGGCUGGAGGCCAAGGCUUCAAAUGAGGCCUCCCCAAGUUGGUACUCAACCUCCUCUCCCUCCUUGGAGGGCAAAGCCAUGAGGGCUGCAGAGAGGAGCUAGCCAGGUAUGAUGGGUAAGUGCAGUGGUUCACAGUAGAACCACACUAGACACAUAGAGGAGUGCUUUAUGAAAUGCUGAUGCCCAGCUGGGUGCGGUGGCUCACGCCUGUAAUCCCAGCACUUGGGGAGGCCGAGGUGGGAGGAUCACUUGAGCCUAGGAGUUUAAGACAAGUCUGGGCAACAUAGUGAGACGCCCCCCCACCCCCAUCUCUAUAAAAAAAAUUAGCCAGGUUUGGUGACGCAUGCCUGUGGUCCCAGCUACUCAGGAAGCUGAGGUGGGAAGAUUGCUUGAGCCCAGAAGUUUGAGGGCUCCAGCCUGGGUGACAGAGUGAGACCCUGACUCUAAAAAUAGGAAAUUUUUUUUUUUUGAGAUGGAGCCUCAACCUCCACCUCCUGGGCUCAAGCGAUUCUCCUGCCUCAGCCUGCCGAGUAGCUGGGAUUAUAGGCGCGCACCACCAUGCCCAGCUAAUUUUUGUAUUUUUAGUACAGACGGGGUUUCACCAUGUUGGCCAGGCUGGUCUCGAACCCCUGAUUUCAAAUGAUCUGCCUACGUCGGCCUCCCAAAGUUCUGGGAUUACAGGCAUGAGCCGCCCUGCCUAGAUAUUUUGGUUUUUGGUUUAAUUGGCUCAGGUGAGUCCAUGGGCUGAGGGGCUUCAUCACACCUGUUUCCUCACCUGUGAGUGGGGAGGGGUGGUCACCUGGCAGGGCGGUGGUGAGGCCGGCCCGUGCCUGCCCUUCCCUCCACUGUUCAGAGUUGGGCCAGGGCUGAAGGAGGCGUGGCCAGCUUCAGAGGAAGGUGUGGGAGCCGCAGCUCUGCCUGGCACUGACAUCUGGGCUGCAAAUUCUUUCUAAUUCUCAACUUCUCCCCCACUACUGCCAGCCAGCCCCUUCAGCUUCAUUUAAAAGUUCAGACAGGAUUCAAAAGUAGGUUGAUAUAUAAAGACCUAUUAAAACUCAAUACUAAGAAAACAACUCAAUUAAAAAAUGGGCAAAAGACCUGAACAGACACUUCGCCAAAGACGAUACACAGAUGGCAAAUAUAUAUGUCACGUCAUAUGUCAUCAGGGAAAUGCAAAUUAAAACAGCAAUGAGAUACCACUGCACAUCUAUCAGAAUGGCCCAAAUCCAAAACACUGACAACCCCAAAUGCUGGUGAGGCUGUGGAGCAACAGGAAUUCUCAUUCAGGGCUGGUAAUACAAAAUGCUAUAGCCACUUGGGAAGACAGCUUGGCAGUUUCUUACAAAGCUAAACAUACUUUUACCAUACGAUCCAGCAAUCGUGUUCCUUGGCAUUUACCCGAAUUAGUUGUUGGAAAUUGUGUCCAGGAGCUUCUGGACAGCUGAACAUGUGGAGGUUCCUGGGAGGUGGCCGUCCAGGGAGGGCACGGAAGUUCCGUGUCCUCCGCCCCCUUCAUACCUCACCCUACGCAUCUCUUCAUCUCUACUCUUUGUAAAAUCCUUUACAAUAAACCGGUAAACCUAAGUAUGGCCAUGUGACUAAGCUCUGGCCAAUGGAGCACAAUCAGAAGCAGCAUGAGCUGACUCCCCCUCUCCUUUUUCUCUUUCAUUGGAUGGAAUGAGGCCUUAGAGGGGACCCAUCUUGGACCGGAUGAGGACAACAGUCCAGAAAUGCUGGAAGACCAAGCUGCAUCUUUGGCAGAUUAUAUUUUCCAAAGAUAGAGGCAACACUAUAUCCCAUUCCACGAGCACUUCUUCUGCUGUGACUUUGACACCCCUCCCAUUGAGGGGUGGCAUCUAUGUCCCCUCCUCAUGAGCUGCAGCAGGAGGAGCUUUGUGACUCUCUUGACCAAUAGAGUAUGCCAGCAUUGACAGCAUGUGGCUUCCAAGGCUAGUUCAAAAAAAUGCCUUUCACUUCCACCUUAUUCUCCUGGGAUGUUCACUCUUGGAACCCAGCCACCAUGCUGCACGGAAGCACAAGAGUCCUUGGAAAGGCCUACAUGGAUGGGAACCAUGGCCCCCAGCCCAAAUCCCCUGCUGAGCUCCCCAGCCGACAGCACCAACUUGCCAGCCACAUGAGUGAGCUGUCCUGGAAGUGAUUCUCCAGCCUUGGGGCAAGCCACCUCAGCUGAUGCCAUGUGAAGCAGAGACAAAUUACCUCCACCAGGCCCUGCCCAAAUUGCAGAUCUGUGAGCAAAACAAAUGACUGUGACUGUUAUAAGCAGAAAAGAAAAUAGAAAAGAAAAUGGAUUCCACUCAAAAACUUGGAAGUGAACAUUUAUAGCAGCUUUAUUCAGAACUGCCAAAACUUGGAGGCAACCAAGAUGUCCUUCAGUAGGUGAAUUUGUAAACAAACUGUGAUCCAUCCAGACAAUGGAAUAUUAUUCAGUGCUAAAUGGAAAUGAGGCACCGGGCCACGAGAAGAUGCAGAGGAAUGUUAGAUGCAUGUUACGAGGUACUAGGGGGAAAGGAGCCAAUCUGAGAAGGCUACAAACUGUAGGGCUCCAACUACCUGAUGAUCUGGAAAAGGUGAGACUACGGAGAUGGUCGGAAGAUCAUGGUUUUCCAGGGUUAGGAGGAGGCAGAGAUGUACAGGGGUAGCACAGAGGAUUUUUAGGGCAAUGGAACCACUCUGUAUGGUGCCAUAAUAGUGGAUACAUCUCAUUAAAGAUUUGUCAAAACACGUAGAAUACACGGCACCAGGAGUGAGCCCUAAUGUGAACUGUGUUUGGUUGAUGAUACGUCAGUGUAGGCUCAUAGAUUGGAACACAUGGACCACUCUGGUAGGGGAUGUGGAUGGUGGGGGUGGCCUGUGUAUGUGGGGGAGGUGGCAUAUGGGAAAUCUACUUUCCACCCAACUUUGCUGUGAACAUAAAACUGCUCAAAAAAAUAGUCUUUUUUUUUUUUUUUGGAGACAGGGCCUCACUCUCACUCAGGCUAGAGGGCGGUGGUGCGGCAUGAUCACAGCUCACUGCAGCCUGGACCUCCCGGGCUCAAGUGAUCAAGCGAUCCUCCCACCUCAGUCUCCCAAGUAGCUGAGACCACCGGCACUUGCCACACUAGCUAAUUUUUAAAUAAUUUUUGUAGGCCGGGCGCCCUGGGUCGUGCCUGUAAUCCUAGCACUGGGAGGCCGAGGUGGGUGGAUCACCUAAGGUCAGGAGUUUGAAACCAGUCUGGUUAACAUGGCGAAACCCUGUCUCUACUAAAAAUACAAAAAUUAGCUGGGCGUGGUAGCAGGUGCCUGUAAUCCCAGUAAUCCCAGCUACUCGGGAGGCUGAGGCAGGAGAAUUGCUUGAACCUGGGAGGCGGGGGUUGCAGUGAGCCAAGAUCACACCACUGUACUCCAGCCUGGAUGACAGACUCCAUCUCAAAAAAAUAAAAAUAAUAACAAUUUUUGUAGAGAUGGGUUCUUGCCAUGUUGCUUGAACUCCUGGGCUUAAGUGAUCCUUCUACCUCAGAUUCUUCCACCUUGGCCUCCAAAAACGCUGAGACAACAGGCGUGAACCACCGCACCUGGCCUUUUUUUUCUUUUUUCCCCUAACUAGGCUCAGUUCCUAAAAGAAGGCCUUGGUCAGGUUUCUGAGCCCUACCCCCCUCCUGCUGGACAAGAUCAUGGAAAAUGCCUGGCUCAGCUAUUCUUUUCUCAGCCUCUUUUAAGCAGCAUAGCAGAGAGGGACAGAGGUAGAGACAGAGAGGGACUGAGAUCUGGGCUCUUCCUCCAGCUGUACGAUAUGGACCAGGCCCCUGUUCUCUUCGGGCCUCCAUCUGUAAAAUGAGGGGACAGGAGGAAUUCUGAUGGCCUGUGGCUUUGAUCUCUGUGAGCAGAUUUGGUUGUAUGAGGUCUCUCCCCUGGCAUUACAUGCUGGAACAGAAGAAAAUGGCCAUAGUCACUGUUAAUUAAAAACUGGUACCAAGUUAUUGGUACUCUCACGUUUGAAAUACCUACUAGUACCUGCUUGGUCUAGACCAGCUGUUCUCAAAGUAUGGGCCCUGGCCCCCUGUAGUAGUAGCAGCAGCACCCAGAGGUUUUUUCUGUUUUUGUUUUUGUUUAGAGAGAUGAGGUCUGUGUUACCCAGGCUGGUCUCUAACUCAAGCAUCGGCCUCCCAAGUGCUGGGAUUACAGGUGUGAGCCACCAUGCCUGGCCUUUUUCUUUCUUUUUCUUUUUUCUUUUUUUUUUUUUUUGAGACAAGGUCUUGCUCUUUGCCCAAGCUACAGUGCAGUGGCACAAUCAUGGUUCACUGCAGCCUCAAACUCCUAGGCUCAAACCAUCCUCCCACCUCAGCCUCCCGAGUAGCUGGGAACACAGGCGCAUGCCACAAACCUUGGCCUUUUUUUUUUUUUUUUUGUAGAAACGAGGUCUCAUUACGUUGCCCAAGCUCGUCUCAGACUCCUGGGCUCAAGCAAGCCUCCCGCCCACCUGGAGCUUAUUAAAGACUCAAAUCCCAGGGCCCAACCCCAGAUCUGCUGAAUCAGAAACUCCGCAGGUGGGGGCCAGCAACAUGUGUUUCAGUAAGCUCAGGAAUCAGGUGAUUCUGAUGCAUGCCAAAAUUUUAGAACCACUGGCCUGGAACAGGGUGUGUGAAGCUUGGCGCUGCUGAUGCUCCAGGCCAGAUCAUCCUACGUGGUAUGGCUGUCCUGUGCACUGGAGGAUGCUGCCAGCAUCCUUGGACUCUACCCCACUGGAGGCCAAUAGCAUGCCACCCCUGUCUCAAGUCACAACAAUCCAAAACAGUGCCAGCUGUCCUCCAGGGAACAAAACUGCCCCAGUGGAGAACCCUUGGUGGGAAGGAAGGCCCUGAUUGUGCAGUGACUCAAAUACAGGAUCACAUAAAACCUGGAGCGAAGGCCUGGCGCAGUGGCUCAUGCCUGUAAUCCCAGCACUUUUGGUGGCCGAGGUGAGUGGAUCACCUGACGUCCGGAGUUUGAGACCAGCCUGGCUAACAUGGUGAAACCCCGUCUCUACUAAAAAUACAAAAAGUAGCCGGGUGUGGUGGCACACGCCUGUAGUCCCAGCUACUCGGGAGCCUGAGGCAGGAGAAUCGCUUGAACCCAGUAGGCAGAGGUUACAGUGAGCCGAGAUUGUGCUACUGCACUCCAGCCUGGGUGACAAAGCGAGACUCCGUCUCAAAAAAAAAAAAAAAAAAAAGCCUGGAGCGAAGACGUGCAUGCAGGGUCACCAUGCCAGGCUGUCACUCUAUCCAGCCAUUUGCUCCUCACCAUGACUUGAAAAUGAUCCCCAUUUUAUAGCAAAUCCCACCUCCCUGCUUACAAGCUGUGUGACCUCGGGCAAGUUACUUGAACUCUCUGUGCCUCUCGCUGUAAAAUGGAAAUAUUAACAUAAUAGUACUUACCUGCUAGGGUAGCUGAGUGCUUGAAAUGACAACUCAAGCAUGGAACAAACUCUCAGCCCAGUGCCCGAGGAGGUAAACACCGGCUCAUUUUCUCAUUAUGUGGCUCAGGCUCUUAGCAAAAUGGAUUUGUGUUCUCUGACCUCGUGCGGCCACUGUCACAGCCAGCUGGAGGUAGGCAGAGGCCAGCCUGAGGUGAACAUGACUGAGUUCACCACUGCUUGUCAGGGUGCCUGCAGUCACGGCUCUGGGGCAGCCAGGAGAUGACCCUGGGUCACUGCCACCAGCAGGGACUUCCUUUGGGCGGCUUGGAGCAGACAGCACCCAGCUCUGCAGACCUGAGCACCCCAUGUGCCCCAAGUGACAUGGAGCAGAACCCGGGGACCCCGGCUGUCUGCCCUCCACCCUGGGCGAGCUCCGGAUGCCGCAGGAAAAGACGAGAAUCCAGCACAGUUCCUCUUCUGCACCUCACAUCCCAAUAAAAUAUUUAUUAUUUCAAGAAAUAAAUCUUUAAAAAAAAGAGAGAAAAAGAGUGUCUCUAUUGCUUUCCC
rnacentral:lncRNA from 1 species